rnacentral:rRNA from 1 species
GAUGAACGCUGGCGGCGUGCCUAAUACAUGCAAGUCGAGCGAACGGACGAGAAGCUUGCUUCUCUGAUGUUAGCGGCGGACGGGUGAGUAACACGUGGAUAACCUACCUAUAAGACUGGGAUAACUUCGGGAAACCGGAGCUAAUACCGGAUAAUAUUUUGAACCGCAUGGUUCAAAAGUGAAAGACGGCCUUGCUGUCACUUAUAGAUGGUUCCGGGCUGCAUUAGCUAGUUGGUAAGGUAACGGCUUACCAAGGCAACGAUGCAUAGCCGACCUGAGAGGGGGAUCGGCCACACUGGAACUGAGACACGGUCCAGACUCCUACGGGAGGCAGCAGUAGGGAAUCUUCCGCAAUGGGCGAAAGCCUGACGGAGCAACGCCGCGUGAGUGAUGAAGGUCUUCGGAUCGUAAAACUCUGUUAUUAGGGAAGAACAUAUGUGUAAGUAACUGUGCACAUCGUGACGGUACCUAAUCAGAAAGCCACGGCUAACUACGUG